GACGAACGCUGGCGGCGUGCUUAACACAUGCAAGUCGAACGGAAAGGCCCUGCUUUUGUGGGGUGCUCGAGUGGCGAACGGGUGAGUAACACGUGAGUAACCUGCCCUUGACUUUGGGAUAACUUCAGGAGACUGGGGCUAAUACCGGAUAGGAGCUCCUGCUGCAUGGUGGGGGUUGGAAAGUUUCGGCGGUUGGGGAUGGACUCGCGGCUUAUCAGCUUGUUGGUGGGGUAGUGGCUUACCAAGGCUUUGACGGGUAGCCGGCCUGAGAGGGUGACCGGCCACAUUGGGACUGAGAUACGGCCCAGACUCCUACGGGAGGCAGCAGUGGGGAAUAUUGCACAAUGGGCGGAAGCCUGAUGCAGCAACGCCGCGUGCGGGAUGACGGCCUUCGGGUUGUAAACCGCUUUCGCCUGUGACGAAGCGUGAGUGACGGUAACGGGUAAAGAAGCACCGGCUAACUACGUG
rnacentral:rRNA from 1 species